UACAGGGGGGGCAAGCGUUGUUCGGAAUUACUGGGCGUAAAGGGUCUGUAGGUGGCCAACUAAGUCAGACGUGAAAUCCCUCAGCUUAACUGGGGAACUGCGUCUGAUACUGGAUGGCUCGAGUGCGGCAGAGGAGACUGGAAUUCCUGGUGUAGCAGUGAAAUGCGUAGAGAUGCGGAGGAACACCGAUGGCGAAGGCAGCCCCCCUGGGCCGACACUGACGCUCAGGCACGAAAGCGUGGGGAGCAAACAGG
rnacentral:rRNA from 1 species